ACAGUGUGGCCAAUGCACCUAUUGUGUCCCUGCUGCAGAAAGGAGCCUGCCGAUUGGCCACUGUCUGCAGCACAUAGCACUGGCUUGUUAUAAAGGACUUGUCUAGGGGAGAGCCUGUAGGUACUCCAUUGUCUGAUGGAUCUGAGAACGCUGUCUGGGCUUCGUGCCAAGGGCUGGUAUUCACUCAGCAACGACGGCCUCACAGAGGAGCUGUGGGAAGCAGGAGGGAGAGCCUCUCUUAGGGUGCCACUACUAUGGAGACACAGCUGGGCUGAACAAGAUUUGCUUCAAACGACAACAAGAGAGACAGAAAGUAUCUGAUUCAACCGCUGCCCAGGCAGGCAGGCACCAGAAGAGCUAGCAGCCAAUCCGGCCAUGCUCGAAGCCAGUCCUGCAGCUCAGCCAAUCAGUGACAUCAUUGGUGAGAAACUCAUUUACAUCAUGCAGUAAUGAACUUUGUUUAACAUAGCCUUCUCCUUUUCCUGUUACCCCUCCCCCCUCAAGAUUAGGUUCUACCAUUAAUUAUUCUGGUGGCAUAAUUUAAAAUGCUAUGUGAAAAUGUGGCUACAUUCUUUCUGGUAGCUUUUACCCAGGCUCCAACUGAUGUCUGCAGUAACAGAAGUGGUUCUAAGUACAACGCUAUUUUGCUUUGGUCUUGCAAGUAUUGUCUUCUCCUUCUUAAAAUGAAAAAAAGAAAAAAAGA
rnacentral:lncRNA from 1 species